CGUAGGGUGCGAGCGUUAAUCGGAAUUACUGGGCGUAAAGGGUGCGCAGGCGGCUCCGCAUGUCGGGCGUGAAAUCCCCGGGCUUAACCUGGGAAUUGCGUCCGAAACUAUGGAGCUGGAGUGUGGCAGAGGGAGGUGGAAUUCCACGUGUAGCGGUGAAAUGCGUAGAGAUGUGGAGGAACACCGAUGGCGAAGGCAGCCUCCUGGGCCAACACUGACGCUCAUGCACGAAAGCGUGGGAGCAAACAGGAUUAGAUACCCUGGUAGUCCACGCCCUAAACGAUGAUGACUAGUUGUUGGAGGAGUUAAAUCCUUUAGUAACGCAGCUAACGCGCGAAGUCAUCCGCCUGGGGAGUACGGUCGCAAGAUUA
rnacentral:rRNA from 1 species